rnacentral:rRNA from 1 species
GUAACGAGCGCAACCCUUGUCCUUAGUUACCAGCACGUUAUGGUGGGCACUCUAAGGAGACUGCCGGUGACAAACCGGAGGAAGGUGGGGAGUGACGUCAAGUCAUCAUGGCCCUUACGGCCUGGGCUACACACGUGCUACAAUGGUCGGUACAAAGGGUUGCCAAGCCGCGAGGUGGAGCUAAUCCCAUAAAACCGAAUCGUAGUCCGGAUCGCAGUCUGCAACUCGACUGCGUGAAGUCGGAAUCGCUAGUAAUCGUGAAUCAGAAUGUCACGGUGAAUACGUUCCCGGGCCUU